rnacentral:rRNA from 1 species
CACGCCGUAAACUAAUGCGCGUUAGGUGUACUGGUGACCACGAGUCACCGGGUGGCCGAAGGGAAACCGUGAAACGUGCCGCCUGGGAAGUACGGUCGCAAGGCUGAAACUUAAAGGAAUUGGCGGGGGGAGGCACCACAACGGGUGGAGCCUGCGGUUUAAUUGGACUCAACGCCGGAAAUCUCACCAGGGAAGACUGUUACAUGAAAGCCGAGAUGAAGACUCUGCUAGAUUUUCAGAGAGGUGGUGCAUGGCGUCAGUGACU